rnacentral:rRNA from 1 species
AUUGAACGCUGGCGGCAGGCCUAACACAUGCAAGUCGAGCGGAUGAGGAGAGCUUGCUCUCUGAUUUAGCGGCGGACGGGUGAGUAAUGCCUAGGAAUCUGCCUGGUAGUGGGGGAUAACGUUCCGAAAGGAACGCUAAUACCGCAUACGUCCUACGGGAGAAAGCAGGGGACCUUCGGGCCUUGCGCUAUCAGAUGCGCCUAGGUCGGAUUAGCUAGUUGGUGAGGUAAUGGCUCACCAAGGCGACGAUCCGUAACUGGUCUGAGAGGAUGAUCAGUCACACUGGAACUGAGACACGGUCCAGACUCCUACGGGAGGCAGCAGUGGGGAAUAUUGGACAAUGGGCGAAAGCCUGAUCCAGCCAUGCCGCGUGUGUGAAGAAGGUCUUCGGAUUGUAAAGCACUUUAAGUUGGGAGGAAGGGUUGUAGAUUAAUACUCUGCAAUUUUGACGUUACCAACAGAAUAAGCACCGGCUAAUUUCUUUCCAGCAGCCGCAGUAAUAC